AUUGAACGCUGGCGGCAGGCCUAACACAUGCAAGUCGAGCGAGAAAGUUCUUCGGAAUGAGUACAGCGGCGGACGGGUGAGUAACGCGUAGGAAUCUACCCAAUAGUGGGGGACAACUCGGGGAAACUCGAGCUAAUACCGCAUACACCCUACCGGGGGAAAGGCGGCCUCUCUUUGAAGCUGUCGCUAUUGGAUGAGCCUGCGUUGGAUUAGCUUGUUGGUGGGGUAAUGGCCUACCAAGGCGACGAUCCAUAGCUGGUCUGAGAGGAUGAUCAGCCACACUGGGACUGAGACACGGCCCAGACUCCUACGGGAGGCAGCAGUGGGGAAUAUUGCACAAUGGGCGAAAGCCUGAUGCAGCCAUGCCGCGUGUGUGAAGAAGGCUCUAGGGUUGUAAAGCACUUUCAGUGGGGAGGAAAAGUUAGUCGCUAAUACCGGCUAGCCCUGACGUUACCCACAGAAGAAGCACCGGCUAACUCCGUG
rnacentral:rRNA from 1 species